rnacentral:rRNA from 1 species
UACGAACCGAGCGAACGUUGUUCGGAAUCACUGGGCGUAAAGGGCGCGUAGGCGGCCGAUCAAGUCGGGGGUGAAAGCCUGUGGCUCAACCACAGAAUUGCCUUCGAUACUGUUUGGCUUGAGACCGGAAGAGGUUAGUGGAACUGCGAGUGUAGAGGUGAAAUUCGUAGAUAUUCGCAAGAACACCAGUGGCGAAGGCGGCUGACUGGUCCGGUUCUGACGCUGAGGCGCGAAAGCGUGGGGAGCAAACAGG